rnacentral:rRNA from 1 species
AACGAACGCUGGCGGCAUGCCUAACACAUGCAAGUCGAACGAGACCUUCGGGUCUAGUGGCGCACGGGUGCGUAACGCGUGGGAACCUGCCCUUAGGUUCGGAAUAACUCAGAGAAAUUUGAGCUAAUACCGGAUAAUGUCUUCGGACCAAAGAUUUAUCGCCUUUGGAUGGGCCCGCGUAGGAUUAGCUUGUUGGUGGGGUAAUGGCCUACCAAGGCGACGAUCCUUAGCUGGUCUGAGAGGAUGGUCAGCCACACUGGGACUGAGACACGGCCCAGACUCCUACGGGAGGCAGCAGUGGGGAAUAUUGGACAAUGGGCGAAAGCCUGAUCCAGCAAUGCCGCGUGAGUGAUGAAGGCCUUAGGGUUGUAAAGGUCUUUUACCAGGGAUGAUAAUGACAGUACCUGGAGAAUAAGCUCCGGCUAACUCCGUG